UCGCCGCCGACGACGUCGCGAGAAGUCCACUGAACCUUAUCAUUUAGAGGAAGGAGAAGUCGUAACAAGGUUUCCGUAGGUGAACCUGCGGAAGGAUCAUUGUCGAUGCCUGCAAAGCAGAACGACCCGCGAACCGUUCCUCAACACUCGGGACGCCGGAUGGCAUUCGGCUGCCYGGCAUCCCGACGCUUCGGACGCGGGGGGUGCGAGCCACUCCCGGCGGACGGAGCAUCAAACACACCCCGGCGUGCAAAGCGCCAAGGUACUCCAACGGUAGGGCAAGCACCCGUCCGCCUGGGUUUCCAGCGCGGUCGGGUGUCUGUUCGGUGCAGUAAAUCUAAACGACUGUGUGAAUUGCAGAAUCCCGUGAACCAUCGAGUCUUUGAACGCAAGUUGCGCCCGAAGCCUUGGCUGAGGGCACGCCUGCCUGGGUGUCACACGUCGCGUCGCCUCCGAAACCUUUCCCCUCGUAACACCGUGGCGAUGGUUCCGGAUGCGGAAGAUGGCCUCCCGUGACCACGAGCCACGGACGGCCCAAGUUUUUGCUGGGGAAGCGAAGCGCCACGGCUUUCGGUGGUCGGCACAGCCCCUGAGGCGAUGAACGAACGAAGCCCGUGGCUGCCGCUACGGUCCCCGGUCCACGACCCCAAUCACUAACCAACGCGACCUCAGGUCAGGCGGGGCUACCCGCUGAGUUUAAGCAUAUCAAUAAGCGGAGG
rnacentral:rRNA from 1 species